UAUUCCCCACUGCUGCCUCCCGUAGGAGUCUGGGCCGUGUCUCAGUCCCAAUGUGGCUGUUCAACCUCUCAGUCCGGCUACCGAUCGUCGCCUUGGUGGGCCGUUACCCCGCCAACAAGCUAAUCGGACGCGAGUCCAUCUCUAAGCGAUAAAUCUUUGAUAUCAAAGUCAUGCGGCUUCAAUAUGUUAUGCGGUAUUAGCGAUCUUUUCAGAACGUUAUUCCCCUCUUAGAGGCAGGUUACUCACGCGUUACUCACCCGUCCGCCACUAAGUUAAAAAUCCGUCAUCCCGAAGGAAUCCGUCAAAAUAACUCCGUUCGACUUGCAUGUGUUAGGCACGCCGCCAGCGUUCAUCCUGAGCCAA
rnacentral:rRNA from 1 species